AUGAAAAAAAGAAGAUCCAGGGAACUACAAGUCAGUCUCACCCCUGUGCCUGGCAAGAUCAUGGAGCAGAUUGUCCUGAAGGCCCUACUGGGGCACACGGAAAAUAAAGAUGAAGUGAUUCGUGGUAACCAACAUGGUUUCACCAAGGGUAAGUCAUGCCUGACAAACCUGGUGGCCUUUUAUGAUGGAGUCACAGUGUCAGUGGAUAAAGGAAGAGUAACUGACAUCAUCUACCUGGACUGGUGCAAAGUGUUUGACGCUGUCCUUCCUGACAUCGUGAUUGUCAAGUUAGAAAAAAAUGGAUUUGAUGGAUGGACCACUCGCUGGGUAAGGAAUUGGCUGGAUGGUCACACUCAGAGAGUUGCAGUCAGCAGCUCAAUGGCCAAGGGGAGACCAGUGACAAGUGGUGGGAUCAGUGUUGGGCUAGUGUUAUUUAACAUCUUUGUAAGUGACAUUUACAGAAGGAUCGAGUGCACCCUCAGCAAAUUUUCAGACAACACCAAGCUGAGUGGUGCAGUUGACAUGCUAGAGGGAAGGGAUGCUAUCCAGAGGGACCAGGACAGGCUUGAGAGGUGGGCCCAUGCCAACCUCUUGAAGUUCAACAAGGCCAAGUGCAAGGCCCUACACCUGGGUCAGGGCAAUCCCCAACAAAGAUACAGGUUGUGCAGAGAAUGGCUUGAGAGCAGCUCUGAGAAGGAUUUGAGAGCAUCCAUUGAUGAAAGAUUCAACGCGAGAUGGCAAUGCACGCUUGCAGCCCAGAAGGCCAACUGUAUCCUCAGCUGCAUCAAGAGAAGUGUGACCAGCAGGUCGAGGGAAGUGAUUCUGCCCCUCUACUGUGUUUUCGUGAGGCCUCACCUGCCAUACUGCAUCCAGUUCUGGAGUCCUCAACACAAGAAGGACAUGGAGACUGUUGGAGCAGGUCCAGAGGAGGGCCAUGAAGAUGAUCAGAGGGCUGGAGACCUCCACUACAAGGGCAGGCUGAGAGAGCUGGGGCUCUUCAGCCUGGAGAAGAGAAGGCUUUGA
rnacentral:lncRNA from 1 species